rnacentral:lncRNA from 1 species
UUUUCUAGGAAAUAUUCCUUUUUCUGUUAAAGGAAUAGUCCUUUUCACCCUAGGUUGUGAAGAAACUUAUAUCUCCGUCACUCCCAAAAUUCCCAAAUAAUUCUCAUAACUUUUUUUGGUCAUAUCUUCCUCAAAUAUGGCAAAAUAUUUCAUUUUCCAUGUUUAGCAUCAUGCUCAAAUAAUUCAUUUCCUAUUCUGCCCUAAAUGGCACAUUGUGAAGCAAGUGUUAUUUUCCUUUUCCCAAUUGACCUCAAACUCCUUGGACACUUUUUUUGUCCAUAUCAUUGCCACAUGCCAAAAUACAACCUCAUUUGCCUAGUAGUCAUUUAAUUGUGAUUUUCCAAAGUUUCUGUCCAGAAAGAAACUUUAUGAAGGAGGUACAAGCUAUGCAUAUCAAAAUGAGUUGCCAAUUUGCAUGGUCCUUCAUAUCAUCAAAUCAUAGCCCUCCACGAAAUUUGAGAUCGUGUAACGCCUCCAUGGGAGCACAGCUUCAAAUCUUUGAUUCUGUCCAAAAUUUCAGUUUGUGAAGCAAGUAUAUUUUAUCUUGCUCCAUUGUGUCUGUAAAUUUUUCUAGGCUUUCUAUUAUCCAUAUAACCUACCUCCACCCAAUUUGGGAAUAUUUUAUCUAGCCAAUUUCCCUCUAGAAUCUUUGCAAAUUUCUGGUCAGUGGGGAUGUUUGUGAAGGAAGUACCAUUUUGGUUUAUCCAAAUGGUGUGAAACCUUUUUCAGAAUAUUCACAUGAUCAAAUAACUCUGCCUUGCCCAAGUUGAGAUCAAGUUGACACUCCUAGUGAGUGCUUCACUGCUUCUUCCUCAUUUCCAAAUCUGGCCAGUAUGGCAAUUUCUAGAGCAAGUGCUAUCUGAACUCCUUCUCUUGAUCUGAAACCUUGCCAUCCUAAUAACCUUAGAGCGUGAUCAAUCCCUACCAAAUAUCAGCUUCUGCCUCUGUCUGUGUUUGUCUGCCCGCAGCACAAACACCUUCCUAUUCAUGUCUCCUGGAUCCUUCUGCCAAUCACUUCUUUGCCCCUAGACCUACUUGUUGCUUUGUUUAGACUUAGCCCACUAAGGUAAAUGCAUUAGACAUGGACUGUUCGGCCAUAACACGCCGUAUGCACCAGCUCACACGGUGACCACCGCCCUGGCAUGCAUUAAACACGCUCUGGCUCCAUCUCGGCGUUGUGCCCGUCCGUUCUCUCCUCGUCUCGACCUGCAGCCAUGUCCCGUAGCCAUGUCCCAUAGCCUCCCCGUGAUCAACUGCUUCGCCCUGAGCCUUGUCCCCCUUCGUCUUCUUCUCCAGUGAGCCGUCCCCCUCGCCGCACUGUGCGCACGCUGUAGCCGACCGUGGUCUUCUCCUCUGUUGGCUUCUUCUUCAUUUGUCCUCGAGCUCCGCUCGUCUCCGUGACCUCUCGCGCUCAUCCGUUCCCAACCCGUCGUCUUCCCCGAGCUCAUGUGCGAGCACACGCGUCCGUGGCGCCGUCCACGCGUCUGCGGCGAUGCCAGCUCGGCCAUGACCUCGCCCGGCUAUUUAAGCCCUCCACCGAGCCAUUCUAGCACACCAGCAACCCUCCCGCACUCUUUUAGGCCCUCCCCACCACUAGCCCGAGCUCGAGCGGCUCUCCUCAUGGCCAUUGCUCACCACGGCCACCGCUUCCUCCCUCCUAAAUUGGCUCGAAGCCGAGCCUCAUCCCCCAAUCCACCACCUCCAGACGCUUCCUACUCCACCAAGAAGCCGCCCCGAUACCCCUCCUCCUUCCCUGGUGGCUCUGGUCCUCGAGUUCGCCGGAGCCCAUAGACCCCUUCCGCCGGCGCCCGCGUUGCCAUCUCCCUGAACCACCCCGUCGUCCGUGGAUGAGCCCUGGAGAUGUGCCGGAGCCCGCUAAGCUCACCCAUAUGCGGAGCCUCGGAGAUGCCCCGUAGCUCCGGCAGGCCUCGUCGGGGCUGGCUCAGCUGCGGCCAGGCGCGAGCGAGAGGAGGGAGAUGACGGCACCGACGCUAGCUCACCAGUGGGCCCUGCGACCCCACCGUCAGCCACAUGCGGAGCCGGCCCCGCGUUGACCCCGACCAUGCUGACGUGGAUAAGUGGACGCGCGUUUAGAGGGAAUAUGUUUUCACCGAACGAAAGCGUACUUCGGCUCUGCUUCGACCAAGAAUACAUUUUCCCUGCUGGAAAGCGUAUUUCACGGAAAGGUGCUUUCAGUUGUUGCCUCCAGGGACUUGUGUGUUGAAGUUUUAUUCACAGAUUGGUCCUUGGUGUUCAACACCUCAUAUCUCCACAACCGUAACUCCGAUUUAGGUGAUUCCAAAGGCCACCUCUUUGGCUCGUCGAGCCCGAACUUUUGGUACCAUUUUCACUAUGUUUUAACAUUAUGAAAAUGAUCAUUUUGCCCUUGCCCCUAAUCAGCCCUUCGAUAGCGAACCCUUUCUGGCGAUUCUUUCCACAGUCGUUCCGCACUUCUCCCCGGAGCUUUCUUCAUCCCCAGGCAAGCCACAGCCACCAUUUGCAUGAUAGCCAUGCAGAAGCAUUGGGUUUCAACUUGAAUCUUUAAUAACUGUUUGAUUGUUUUGCUACUGCUGUCGUGAUUUUGGUUAUGCUUAUGGAUCGAUGUUUACCGUCAUGUUUUCUUGCACUCUGUUUUGUUAUUCAUGCUAGUAUUAUAUUGGCCAUGCUUGGUAAUAGUACAUGUUGGUGAUGGUCUUCGGUGCAUGACUACCGUCUGUUCUGAGUACCGCCGUUAUGCAUGUUUCUUUGCAUCCAGUUGAUUAAAUACUUGCAUGGUAGUUUUAUCGUUAUGUUAUUGCAUGGUAGUUAUUUUGAUGCUAGUAUAAUGUCAUGCUAUGAGUAGUGUUCUAGUUGUGAUCUUUAUGCUCGUCAGUAUGCCAUGCUCAUCUAGAUAGAUGAUUAAAUGUUGUUGUUAUGCUCGUUGAUUAUGAUGCACCUCCAUGCUUACGUUUGAUAUCAUGUUCAUGCAUUGUAGUUGCAUCAUGUUAUUUUAUCAUGGCUCGGCAUAUUGCAUUCAAGUUAGCCAGAUUAAAUUGAACUUGAACAACUGUUGGUUGAGUCAUGGUGCCACCAUAUCGAUCAGACCAGUGCAACCAUGUUUGCCUUACGGGAAGGCCCUAACUGGGUCUAUUGUCAUGCCUCUCACCGGUGCCUCCCGCGAGGGAAGGUUAUGCGCCGGCGCUACCCUGAUCAGGUAGGACGGCAUAAGCCUUGUGUGCCCAUUGUUGAGUAUGGAUCCUUGUCCCCGUUUGGGACCGUUUUGCCACGACGGUGGCCAUUGGUGCCUUUGGUAGCCACGGGGCCACCCAGGACUUAGCCCAAGGGGAGUUGGUCGGAGUGGCCGGGAGAGUGUCAUGACAGUAGGACAGUUUUUUCGGAACGCUUUGGUCCACCUGAAUGGGAGUGCGAGGCCAGGGUUCCGUGGUGUGGGUACAGUGUGCUAACAUCUGCAGAGUGUGUGUGUUAAAUCUAUCGAUAGCCGCGCCCGCUAAUAUGGGCCCAGUUCAUGUCAGUCACACUAUGGGUCAACAGUAAUAAUAAUGUGCUUAAUAACAACCCCGAUUUGAUGAUGAAAGAAGUUGGUUGAUAUUUAUGUGAUCGUAAGAGGAUCACUGUGGUAUGGUGAAUACCCACUCGUUGGAUAUUUGUGGUGGUAUGCAAGAGUCAAGGGUAAAAGUAAGCUCCUUGUGGUCAUAAAUGAUUACUACGGUAUUGUUAAUACCAAGCUUGAUUGGAUCCUGAGAUGAUCGUGUGAUGUCCGCGAUGGUAAGUUUGUACAGGUGAUGGUUACGAGGUAACCCGAGCAUAGUAAGUUGGUGCAUGAAAGUUUCAUCAUGUUGCAUGCUAUUCUCAUCAUGUUCAUAUGUUUAUGCCAUGCUCGUAUUGUUCUAGCUGUAUCAUGUUGUUCAUGCAAUGUUCUUCUGAUAGGAUCGUGUUCCUCAUUGCUUAAUAAUCUGUAAUUUCCAUGCUAUUGUUUGUCUUGAUUGCUUUGGUUGCUGUGAGCUUGCAAGUACAUUCAAUGUACUGACCUGGCGUGUCAUGCCAGUUUGCAGGUCAUGCCAGAUUUGAUUGCUUGUUUGCCGUGGAUUCCUUGUUUGCGAGCUAGGAUAAGCGUUCCAGCCAGAGUCCCUGCGGAGUGCAGUUCAUCACUGUCGUCGUUGUUCCACUGCCAGUAGUCAUUCCGCUGCGUCGAGUUGUUCUGGUGCUUGCCUGGAGCAAUCGUGGCACACAUGGUUUCGCCGUGCCGAUGUAACCCACUUGUACCCAUAUAGAUUGCAAUAAAGAGCUAGUUUGUUCUAUGCUAAGCAGUGUCGUAUUCCAAAAGACUUCUCCUCAAUCUCUGGGCUGGAAUACGGGGCAUUCCGGUUUCUGUGAGCCGGGGUGCCACAGGCUUGUUAUCAGAGCAGGUCUGGCUGUAGGACGCCCUAGCCCACGCGAACGUUAGAAUGCGGUAGUAUAGAGCCCAGUUGGUUUGUUGCACUUGGUUGCUGCAUUUGUUUGUUGCAUAGCAUGCAUAUAGAUUAUUAUCUUGUCGCUAACAGUUUAUCUUGCGUGUGUAGGUGGUAUCAGUUUCGAUCCACUACCUGCACCCUCUUUCUUUGCAUGCCCGCCCUUUGGUGUUCGGUGUCAUCUCUGUCCCAGCAGAGUGAUGCCCUGGUACCAAGUGUUCCAGACACCAUUUGUAGGAGUUAUGCUCAGGUAUUGCAUCGAUAUCUUUUCCUCCACCCAAAUUGUUUUGGUGAUAGCUAUGCUUCUAUCCCGAAUCGUGCCUUCCAUCUCGCCAUUCUGCAACCCUUGCUGAUCAUUGUUAUUAGAAAGAGGGCAAUGCCAGCCGGCCUUGUUUUUCCUCCCCUAGUUUGCCCUGCCAUCUUAUUCUUUGGACGUGUACGAUUCCCAUUCGUACGCUUGAUAAUGAGGUAGUCGUGACCUCCCUGUAUUGCUACUUGAUCACCAAGUCGGUCCUCGCCUCCGUAUCCAUCCAGAUCUAGCCAGUGUUCAGCCAGCGCUUGGUGUAGCCUUGGUUACGCCAACUCUUUCCACACAUGGAUUUCACUUUCGUGCACACCGUCACAGCAUAUUAGACUGUAAUACCGGAGUUUCCGCGAGAUUUGUGUGCUUAGGUGAGCAUGCAUAUUAUUCUGUGAGUAGUAGUAAUAUGCGUUGAUUGCUUUAUUAUUAUGUGUGUGCUUGUGUGCUUUUGGUUUUUGUCGUUUCUUUUGUUUCUUUCUUCGGGCCUUCGGUGUUACAAAUUUCUCCCCUUAUUAAAGUUGCUCGUCAACCGACACCGGCCCUAAAGAAUCAGCAAGGAGUUCAAAUGUUUGGAAGCUCAGCUAAACAGAAUGGAAUUAUCAGCAGACUGCAGUGAAUUUUGAAUAUCUCAUCUGAAUGCGGAAGAAAUCCUGGAUGGACUGUCAGUAUCAAGUUUGCAUCAGUAUGGAAUUCUCCGCCGACUGCAUUGGGAUCUGGGAAUAUCUGAUCGUGAUACGGAUAAUCAAGUUUGCCUCAGUGUGCACUCUUCAGGACAGAAAUGGUCAGAUCAGGAAGAAGAUAAGCUAUGUGCAAGACCAACAUUGCAGUUUCAGUUAGAGAAAGCAAGGAUGUGCCACAUACUCGGAAAGGAGGAUGGUCUAGCAAUUUCUGUUUCAGCACGAAGCCCAGUCUUCCUCGGCAAGAUACUCUUGAUGGUUUUCAGCAUAAUCCAUCCAAUCGUCCUCAAUAUGACACUGGUGUAGGAUAGUACAAUGUGAAUUGACAGCAGAUGGCAGAAUCAGAUCCGCAACAGUUGGUCAGAAGCAAGAAUUAGUCAAAACACAAGUCCUCGGGAAUCAGAUUCUCAGAUAUAUGUGAAGCACCCCAGUGUGACAAAGAAUUAUGAGGAUUGACGAUAACACUGAGCUCUGUACAAGUACCGAUGAACCUGGAAGAUGAUCUUGAUGAGCCCUUGUCUCCAUUUCUUCAGUGUCAGCCCCACGCCUGUGAUCUGAGCUGUUUUUAGCUAUCCGGGGUGGAUGUCGAUUUUUAUUUCUCUCUUCAACAACUAUCACGAGUUCUGAGCUGCUUUCCGGCCGUCUCGUACAGCUGCUGUGUUUCUUUUUGUGGCAGUGACCCUAUAGCUGCUUUUCGGCUAUCUUAGGGAGCUGCCACUUUCUUCUUAUCGACCCGGUCUCAUGCUCUGAGAUGCUUUUCGGCCGUCCUGAGCCGUGGUUGAGUUAUCUCAGUAAUGUCCUAGAUCUGAGUUGUAAAGACUGUUCUGGUGGCUACUGAUUUAUUUGCCGAUUUAUUGCAAGGGUUCGGAUGAUCAUUUUCCUACGGUCAGAACUUGAGAGGUGUUGAACCUGCCAUUUAAUGGGCGGAUAAGAGUAUGCCUGUCAGAAUAUUGCACCCGACAGAACCGAUGGUCACACAAAGAAACAAUAUGACCCAUCUCCUUCAGCCAAGGAUCCAAACAAGACAAGCACUAAUGAAGGAGCAAGACUGAAAAUUGUUGCAAGACCCACAUGGUGCAGAAACCCGGACAGUCAGAGUCAGUAUGGAUCACCAUGGAUAUUCACCUAAAUGGUCUCCUCGGGUUUGGAUGGUGAAUAAUAGUCUGGAAGCAUGUGCCCUCACUUAUGUGAAGCAUCAACGGAUAGCCUGUCAUGAACAAAAUUCUUUCACGAGAUUCACCGUCAGUCAAGGAUGAGGAUAUUAUCAGAUAAGAUCAUAUCGCUUAUGCUGGCCACGACAGGCGACAAUCAAAUAAUUGGUACAGAUCUGGUACUCAAGACAGUGGAGCCAGUCAGCAUGAUUCAGAAAUUCCUGCGAUAAGUCAGAAUCUGUCAGGGAAGCGGUCAUUCCUAAACUCACUAUUGGGAAUCCGAAGUACCUGGAUUUAGUGGAGGAACCCAAUGCAAGGGGUCAGAGCUUGGGUGUUAAUCAGGAAAAUCUGGUCACCAAUUCAUGGAAGAUUGUCAGUGCUGGAUCAAUCGGAAAUCACUCUCGGAUUUGUGAGACAGGCAUAUAUUGCAAUCAUGAUGAGCUAUCACAGUCAGCUAAGUCAGCAUAUAUGAAAAUAAUUGGAGCCAGUAUAAGCAUGAGCAAGCGAGGUAACAUCUGUCAGAAUGUGGAUACAACCUCACAGACAGUCAGCCAGUCAAAUGAAAUUUAGUGGGAACAACAAUAAAUGAAAAAGGAUACCCGAGUUGGAAACGGUUUCCUUAAGGUCAGAUAUAUUCAGACUUGUUCCUUGAGCAACCAAAUCUCAAGGACGAGAUUUAUUUAAGGGGGUAAGGUUUGUAACAGCCUGAUUUUUGGCCCUUUCUUUUUCUUUUGAUUUUCCCAGGUUUUUGCUUGAGUUUUCUGUUUCCGUGGCUUUGUGGUCUGGAAACUGAAGAAGAUGAGCUCUUCUUUGCUUCCAGAGUGGCUUGUCAUUCCCCUAUCCUUCCCUAGACCUUGCCAUUUCCAUCUUGGACCAACCCCAAUAUUCUUUUUCUAGGAAAUAUUCCUUUUUCUGUUAAAGGAAUAGUCCGUUUCACCCUAGGUUGUGAAGAAACUUAUAUCUCCAUCACUCCCAAAAUUCCCAAAUAAUUCUCAUAAAUUUUUUUGGUCAUAUCUUCCUCAAAUAUGGCAAAAUAUUUCAUUUUCCAUGUUUAGCAUUGUCGGUGUCAAAACCGGUGGAUCUCGGGUAGGGGGUCCCAAACUGUGCAUCUAGGCGAUGGUAACAGGAGACGAGGGACACAAUGUUUUUACCCAGGUUCAGGCCCUCUCGAUGGAGGUAAAACCCUACGUCCUGCUUGAUUAAUAUUGAUGAUAUGGGUAGUACAAGAGUAGAUCUACCACGAGAUCAAGGAGGCUAAACCCUAGAAGCUUGCCUAUGGUAUGAUUGUUGAGAUGUAAUGUUGUGUCCUACGGACUAAAGCCCUCCGGUUUAUAUAGACACCGGAGAGGCUAGGGUUACACAGAGUCGGUUACAAUGGUAGGAGAUCUACAUAUCCGUAUCGCCAAGCUUGCCUUCCACGCCAAGGAAAGUACCUUCCGGACACGAGCCGGAGUCUUCAAUCUUCUAUCUUCGUAGUCUGGGAGUCCGGCGGAUAUUGAUAGUCCGGCUGUACGGACACCCCCUAGUCCAGGACUCCCUCAGUAGCCCCCGAACCAGGCUUCAAUGACGAUAAGUCCAGUGUGCUUGUAGUCUUCGGCGUUGCAAGGCGGGUUCUCCCUUCAAAUUCCAUGUACCAGCCGAAUAGUACUCGGCUUCAUCUUGAAUACCGUGUUCCUCGGCUUCCACGCCAAAUAAUGGCCCUCUUCCACGCAUUGCACGAAUGCGAAAAGCCAGGGUGUCUUUUACAUUUCACCCCCUAAUUGUGCGGGUCGUCUGCCUAUAAAAGGGGCAGGGAUCCAGAUCCAAACCGCACCGUCUUCCUCCCGCGUAUACUUCAUCGAAGCGCCUCUGACCUUGAAAUCCAUUCCACCAUGGAUCGUCAAUGCGGCUCUUUCUCACGUGCUCCUAGCCCAUCGCCAGGGGAUUGGAGGAGGUGCUCUAUUUCGCACAAUGAGCUAGCGAAGCUCCAAACGGAGGGAUUUCUUCCUCCGGCCUUCAUGGUUCCGGUCCGAGCCGGACUGGUUACUUAUCAAGGUGGGAGGCAGGCGGAGGACACCCCAAGCCCCAACAAGGGGGAGCGAGUGUGCUUUGUCCCCUAUCUAAUAAGGGGGCUCAGAUUUCCAAUUCAUCCAUUCCUCCGCGGGCUCCUGAAGUUCUAUGGACUCCAGCUCCACCACCUUACGCCCGCCUUUGUGCUGCAUAUUGCGGGCUACGUAGCCCUUUGUGAGCUAUUCCUGGGCAUCGAGCCCCAUUUUGCAUUGUGGAAGAGGCUGUUCUGCCUCGUACCCCGUUCUCACCAGGGGUCCAUAUAUCAAGUGGGCGGCGCCGAAAUAUGGCGCAUCGCCGGGACCGGAUACCUAUCCGGCACCCCCAAGAGGGCGUCCGAAGACUGGCCCUCGGAGUGGUUUUAUAUUGGGGACGCCCCGCUGCCGGAUCCAGUCCGGAUUGGCCUCCCGGAGUUUGACGCUGCUCCCUUGAAGAAACGCCUUAGCUGGCGCCCACGGAGCCCCCGUUUGGAGGAAGACAAGAGCGUCCAUUACUUGAUGGGCCGGAUAAGGUUAAUGGCCCAUGCCGGCUUGACCAUGAUCGGAGUCAUGGCAACGUGUAUCAAGCGAGGGGUGCAGCCGCUGCAAUACAGAAGCCACCCCAUGUGGGAUUUCAACGGGGAAGACGACGCUACCCGAUACGGCCGUAAAGGGCCGGAAUCGACCGAGGAUCUGGUGAAGAUCCUGUCCGGUCUGUACAAGGGGGAGAAGGAGGAUUUCCUUCGCCCGAACCCUCUGGAGGGGUUUUCCACGAACUACCCCAGAGGAUGGGUAAGCGAACACCUCGAAGGGUUCUACCCGUGUUUUCGAAGUUUAAGCUUCUUACAUUAUGUCUUCGGCGCAGAGUCUACGUCGGACUAUGGAGGACAUGGUGAGUCCUACCCCACAACCCGAGGAUCCGGAAGGAUACCUGGGUCCGGCCUCCGAAGAGGAUCCGGACAUCAAGGUGGAGCUGAUCGACGGGGUGUAUCACCAGCUCAGCAUCGACAAUGCUUUGGUCGCCAUUACGGCGGACUACCCCGGGCUAAAUUCGGCAUCCCAGGUGACCAAGACCGAAGUCCAGACACCGUUAUCUUAUCCUUGGCUACUUCUGACCUUCGCGAAUGAUGGCUUUUUGUAGGAAGCGCCUUUACGGCCGGGAACCGAGCCUGCGGCGGCCAACCUACGGAGGUCGGUCCGAACCAGCAGGAGGAAAAGGAGCGCCGUGCGGGCGGAAUCGUCGCCGCAGAGGUAUGGCUCGUGUUUGAUUCUUUUGAGCAAUGUUCCAAGGAAACUUCUAAACGCUCAUGAUUUUUACAGAAGAAAAAACGCUCGCCGGACUGCGAGCACAGGAGUUGCCGAUCCCACCAAUACCAGCCGGGCUCCAGCGCCUGGACUGGAGGGGGAGGCAAGCGCAAGACGCGAACCGGAUCCUACUCCAACGGAGGAUACCGACAGACUGUCCGCCACCAAGUCAGAGGUGGAGAGCGCUAUGAAUCAUAGACGCCGCCGGACAGUUUUUCAAGAGGCGUGCUUUUCCCCUGAGGCAUUGGAUGCCUUCAACGCAGGGGAGGCGCAUCUCCGGGCUGCUCAAAAUGGUUUUACCAGGGCCACGGAGCAGUAUGUUAAAGACAUACGGGUAAAGAUAUUUUAAUGGUUGUAUACACCAGUAGCCCCCGAGACUUAAAUUAGUUAUGUUAACUGAUUUAAGGAUCAUUUGAAAUUUCAGGCUCUUAACGAGAAGAAUGCCCAGCUGUCUCGGGAGCUGCAAGAUUGCAAGGCCCAACUAGAGGCUGCACUUGCUGCCGUAGGAGGAGGCGGGAACACCCCUCCUGGUAACACAUUUGUAUAAAUUAGUAUAAGCGCUGUGCGGCAUGCGCGCGAGUCUAAUAAUGACAUUGCAGGUGCCGCCGAACACGAUCCGGACAGGCAAGCGCCGAUGCGCCAGCUAAAGGCCGGCGAGAAUGUGCUGAACAGAGUUCAGCAGGAAAGUAACAAGCUCCAAGAUACCAAUGCCAAGCUUGGAGAAGAGCUGAAAGGCGCACAGGCCGAGCUGUCCGGCUCCGUUAAGGAGAAUCAACGACUUCGUCGCGGCAUAUAUAGUAAGUGCUUGAGCGAACUCUUUUGAAAACAAGAGUUCGGCGAGGAAGUGUUUUGACAUGAUAUGUCUUGUAGGUAUACUCACGGGUCGUCCUGCAGAGGAGAUGCCCGUAUCCAUGGGUGAUCAACUUCCCGAACUAUUGCAGCUACUCGAACGAGUUCGGCAGGCAAUGAGUGGCGCCAUGCAGGCUUUAUGGCCAUCCCUCGCCCUGCCCGAGGGCCUCGGGGAGCUUGUAGAGAAGCUGCAGGGAGUACGGCAGCGCUUCCGUUUAUGGAAGGUUUCGGCUUGCCGUCAAGGUGCCAGGGAGGCUUGGGCCAUGGUAAAGACGCGUUACAAGAAGGCGGAUCCCAACCACAUGGCCGAAGUUGGACCGGUGGGGCCCGAUGGGAAGGAGAUCCCUGUGAGUUUAGUGUACAGCCAGGUAGAACUGGCUGCUAAAUUUUCCCAACGGGACUGUAAACUAGACAGCCUGUUAGACGGGAUUGAGGAGGAAUACAAUCAAUAAACUUGACAAUGUAUGUUAUCCUUUUAAAAAUGACAUGUGAAAUGCCUUCUAGCCGGAUUGUAGAUCGUUUGUCUUUGCCGACCUUUUCGCUUCGACCUCGGGACCCUAGAGUCCGGAGUGUGUCCGAAUACCUUUUAGGUUAAGAAAUAACCGUGGUAUGCAUGGAGACCAGGCGUAGGGGUCAUUAGUGCUUUAUCAGACAAGUGCCCAACUAGUUAUGUUAUAUUACAUCGUUAGUAAGAAACAUCUUCUAGGGAGAAUAGUUCCAUUAAGGGUUCCUUUCGCUGGGGGUGGCGUGCCCUAAAAUGCAUUGCCGGACUGCAAAAAAGCAGUAAAACAUCUGAGGGCAGAUGGAAAAAAUAGGUAAAAAGUCAUCUUUUAAAUCACCGACCGAAUAUUCCCUUAAGAACGCUAGCUUUCGGCUUCACCCAGUCUGAGGUACACAUCCGGCUGACCCGGCAGUAACAAUCGCAGAGGUGCUCCCUUUACCACCUAGCCGAACAAUCGGGAACGUAGGGGUAAGCACAGGAGCCAGGCAACCCCGCUUGGCCAAAACUUAAGUCAUAUCGAUGCAUAUAAUGGCGAGUAAAAGGUACAUGUGGAAGCCUGACACAUGUGUUGGGUAUAAAACCCGUAUAGUUGAGCUUCUGUAAAAGAAGCCCCCAGGAAUAACGAGUGCGGAUGGCACAUCGUAUGUAUGCAAAAAAUGCGAAAAUAUACCCCGAAGGGCUUGUUAAUUUAGAAGGAAAAAAGAGAAAAAGAGGACAACCGAAAUGUAAAAGGUUGGACGGGGGAAGGGGACGAACUCUUAGUCCGGCGCUAGGCAUAGAAUCGUCGGAGUCGGGCUGCGUUCCAUGGGUUCGGCUCGAGUCGGUUGUCCGACGCAUUUCGUAGACGGUACGCUCCGCCGGUCAGUACUUGAUCAAUAAUGAAGGGGCCUUCCCAUCUGGGCUUGAGCUUGUCCUUUUUCUUGUCCGGCAGGCGUAGAACUAGUUCGCCAACGUUAUAGGUCUUGGCCCGUACUUCUCUGCUUUGAUAUCUUCGGGCCUGCUGCUGAUAAAAUGCGGAACGAGCCUUCGCGACGUCACGUUCUUCCUCCAAUGUGUCCAAGCUGUCCUGCCGAUCUAGCUCGGCUUCUCUUUCCUCAUACAUGCGCACCCGAGGUGAGUCAUGAAUAAUGUCGCAGGGCAAGACUGCCUCUGCGCCGUAUACCAUAAAAAAUGGUGUGAAUCCGAUAGUACGGUUAGGCGUUGUCCGCAGCCCCCAGAGUACGGAGUCGAGCUCCUCGACCCAUUGGGUAUUGGAUUUGGCGAGUGACCUCACCAAUCUGGGUUUGAUGACGCUCAUUAUUAGACCGUUUGCUCUUUCCACUUGACCGUUGGUUUGAGGGUGAUAGACUGACGCAUAGUCGAGCUUAAUGCCCAUAUUUUUGCACCAUGACUUGACCUCAUCGGCCGUGAAGUUUGUGCCGUUGUCGGUGAUGAUGCUGUGGGGGACUCCGUAACGGUGUACCACCUCUGAUAUAAAGUCUAUCACUGGUCCGGACUCUGCCGUUUUGACCGGUUUGGCCUCUAUCCAUUUGGUGAACUUAUCCACCAUGACCAAUAGGUAUUUUUUCUUGUGGGUUCCCCCUUUAAGGGGUCCGACCAUGUCAAGCCCCCAGACCGCGAACGGCCAGGUAAUGGGGAUGGUUUUGAGGGCGGUGGGUGGCAUAUGGCUCUGAUUAGCAAAGAGCUGACAACCAACGCAUCACUGGACCAAGUCCUGUGCAUCUGCCCGAGCCGUCGGCCAAUAAAAUCCUGUACGGAAUGCCUUUCCUACCAGGGCCCGGGCUGCUGCGUGGUGUCCACCUAGUUCGGCAUGGAUUUUAGCCAGGAGGUUUCAUCCUUCUUCUUCGGAGAUACACCUUUGAAGGACUCCGGUUGUACUUUUCUUAUAAAGUUCUCCCUCAUGGACCUUGUAGGCCUUCGAUCGCCGGACUAUGCAGCGGGACUCAUUUUGGUCUUUGGGGAGUUCCUGCCUAAGUAAGUAGGCUAGGAAAGGUUCUGUCCACGCGGCGAUUACUGCCAUUAUAUUGUGGGCGGAUGGUGUUAUGUCGUCUGCUGAAUCACCAGUUGGUGCGGCUUUCUCCGGUUUGUCGCUACCGGACUUCUCUUCCCAUAGUACGGAUGGCUUGAAGAGCCGUUCCAAGAAGAUAUUUGGAGGGACAGUAUCACGUUUCGCACCGAUGCGUGCCAGGACGUCGGCCGCUUGGUUAUUAUCUCGAGCUAUGUGAUGGAAUUCGAGUCCUUCAAACCGAGCUGACAUUUUCAGGACAACAUUACGAUAUGCUGCCAUUUUCGGAUCCUUGGCAUCGAAGUCUCCAUUUAUUUGGGAUAUUGCAAGGUUUGAAUCCCCGCGCACCUCUAGGUGUUGAAUGCCCAUGGUGACUGCCAUCCGGAGACCGUGUAACAGGGCGUCGUAUUCGGCUGCAUUGUUGGAGUCCGUGUACAUUAUUUGAAGUACGUAUUGGACUGUAUCUCCGGUGGGGGACGUCAGUACGACGCCAGCCCCCAGUCCGGCCAACAUUUUGGAGCCGUCGAAGUGCAUAGUCCAAUUGGAGUAUGCGCCGUACUCUUUAGGUAGUUCGGCUUCAGUCCAUUCGGCGACGAAGUCAGCCAAAACUUGUGACUUUAUGGCUCGUCGAGGUUUGUAGGUUAUGUCGAAUGGCAAGAGCUCAAUGGCCCAUUUUGCAAUCCUGCCCGUUGCGUCACGGUUAUUUAUAAUGUCAUUGAGUGGCACUUCAGAAGCCAUUGUUAUCAAACACUCUUGAAAGUAGUGCCUGAGCUUCCGAGACGCCAUGAACACCGCGUAUGCUAUCUUUUGAUAGUGCGGGUAACGGGAUUUGCAGGGGGUUAACAUAGUGGAUAUGUAAUACACUGGUUUUUGAAGAGGGAAUUUAUGCCCUUCUAUUGCGUGUUCGACGACGAGGACAGCGCUUACAACGUGAUGUGUUGCAGCGAUGUAUAACAACAUUGGUUCGCCCAGAGUGGGCGCAGCCAGGACCGGAUUUGUUGCCAAUAUGGCUUUUAUUUCUUCGAGUCCGGCAGUGGCGGCGUCCGUCCACUCGAAGUGUUCGGUGCGCCUUAGGAGGCGAUAAAGGGGCAACGCCUUCUCUCCUAAACGGGAGAUAAAACGGCUUAGAGCUGCCACGCAUCCUGUUAACUUUUGUAUUUGCUUGAGGUCUUUUGGAAUAUCCAACUGCGACAGAGCCCGGAUUUUGGCCGGAUUUGCUUCAAUUCCUCUACCGGAUACGAUGAAGCCCAACAGCUUUCCGGCUGGUACACCGAAAACACAUUUUUCCGGAUUCAGCUUGAUGUCAUACGCUCUAAGGUUGUCGAAUGUGAGCCUCAAAUCAUCUACUAAAGUUUUGACGUGUAAUGUUUUGACGACUACGUCGUCUACGUAUGCCUCGACUGUUUUGCCUAUCUGGGUAGCCAGACAUGUUUGAAUCAUGCGCUGAUAUGUUGCGCCGGCGUUUUUAAGUCCGAAGGGCAUCGUGUUGAAGUAGAAUGGUCCGUAUGGAGUAAUAAAUGCCGUUGCGGCUUGAUCUGCUUCCGCCAUCUUGAUUUGAUGAUAGCCAGAGUAUGCGUCCAGGAAGCACAACGAGUCGUGUCCUGCCGUGGCGUCGAUAAUUUGAUCGAUGCGGGGGAGGGGGAAAGGAUCCUUUGGGCAAGCCUUGUUGAGGUCUUUGAAGUCGACACAGAGGCGCCAGGAUUUAUCUUUCUUUGGUACCAUCACCAAAUUUGCUAGCCAGUCCGGAUGUUUAAUGUCUCUAAUGAAUCCGGCUUCCAAUAACUUGGCUAGCUCUUCUCCCAUUGCCUGUCUCUUCGGCUCGGAAAAUCGUCGAAGAGCCUGUUUGACUGGCUUGAAUCCUUUUAGGAUGUUUAGGCUGUGCUCUGCCAACCUGCGAGGGAUUCCGGGCAUGUCUGAAGGGUGCCAGGCAAAGAUGUCCCAAUUUUCCCGAAGGAACUCGCGUAGUGCGGCGUUAACUUCGGGGUUCAACUGUGCCCCGAUGGAGGCCGUCUUUGUUGGGUCCGUUGGGUGGACCGGAAAUUUGACUAUCUCAUCUGCUGGUUUGAAGGAGGUGGACUUGGAUCUUUUAUCAAGUAUCACAUCAUCCCUGUUUACCGUAGAGCGCAGCGCGGUGAGUUCCUCUGCAGCUAAGGCUUCGGAUAGUGCUUCGAGGGCUAGUGCGGCUGUCUUGUUUUCGGCGCGGAGUGCUGUGUCCGGAUCACUGACGAGAGUGAUUAUUCCGCUGGGCCCAGGAAUUUUGAGUUUCAUGUACCCGUAAUGAGGUAUUGCUUGAAAAAUUGUGAAUGCCUCUCGUCCUAAUAUGGCGUGAUAGCCGCUGCUGAACGGGGCCACCUGGAACGUGACUUCUUCGGAUCUGUAAUUAUCCGGAGAGCCGAACACCACAUCAAGUGUGAUUUUUCCGGUGCAGCGCGCUUCCCGGCUAGGGAUUAUUCCUCUGAAGGUUGUGCUGCUUCGCUCAAUACGGCUCCAAUCGAUUUCCAUUUUUCGAAGGGUUUCCUCGUAAAUGAGGUUUAGUCCGCUGCCGCCGUCCAUGAGGACUUUUGUCAGUCAAAAGCCGUCCACUAUGGGACUAAGUACCAGUGCGGCUGGGGCUCUCGUAGCUCGAGAUGUGGGCUCGUCGCUGGCACUGAAGGUGAUAGCUGUGUCGCUCCAUGGAUUUGUAGUUGCUACUUGGUAGACUUCGGCGAGUUCGCGGAUUGUUCAUUUUCGCAUAUUAUUUGAUGCGAAAGUCUCGAAGACUGUUGAGACCGUGCUGGUAUUGUUGGAGUGGUUUCCCGGAGCUAGAAGCUCUUCGCCACUUUUGGCCACCUGCCGUAGUAUCCAACAUGCUCGAAGGCUGUGUGUUGGGACAGCUCCCCCUGUAUUAUGAAGUUUACAGGGUCCAUUGAGCCAUCCCUCCAGUACGGUUCCGUUUCCCUUGCUGGGUUUUUGCUUUUUGGAUUUUGCCUCUGGGGCCUGAUUGUGAGGCGCCCUUUUACCGCGGACUGGGCUUGGGGCCGGAUUAUCCCAAAAUUGAUUUUUAGUUUUCCGGAAACUUUCCAUCGCACAGUACUUUCAUACUAUGGACGCCAGAUCGGUAAAACGCGUAAUCUUGCGACGAUCAAUGGCGUUCAGGAUUCCCUUGUCCGUGAAGUUAUUGCAGAAGAUUGAGAUUGCGUUUUCCUCUCGGGAGUCCUUUAUCCUGUCCAUAACCAGGAGGAAUCUGGCCCAGUAAUGAUGUACUGUUUCUGAGGGCUCUUGCCGAAUUAGAGAUAGGUCGCAUAUGUCUGGGCGGGUGGGUGGAAUAAAAUCCGGAUCCCUGCCCGUCUUUGGGCUCAAAGGCCGAGAGACUUCCGAAUUCGGAAGCUUGAUUUGCUGGAGACAGCCCAGCGAGUCCGGAGCGACACACGAUUUUAGGUUCAAUGCUCGAUCAGGGUCCGUUCCUCCGCGGGAAUCCGGCAUGGAGGGUUCGGGAAUCCGGACACAGAUUAUUUUCAACAACGGCAACGAAUUGCCGAGUCGUUCUUCUACCACUUUGACAUGGUGGGUAGCCUGGGGAGAGUUAAUCUCUCUCAGAUCGGUUUUAAGCCCGAUCUGAUUGUAGUCCGUUGCGACUCCCAGGGCGGCGAUGCGAUCCAAGAGCUCGUUAACAGACGAGAGCUCGAUUGGAUCUAACUGUUCGGCAGCUUUAGGGCUGACGCGAAGAUUGCUUUUGAUGACUUGAGAAGUCAUUGCCGAAGCGGCGGCCGGACGGGCGGUCAUAAGAAAACCACCAAGCCGGAUUGUUUGACCGGCGGCCAAGGCCCCUCCGGCGAAAACACCGUCCUUGAAGACGGGUAAAGGCAUCCGCUCUAUCGGCGACGACACAGAGGAACUCUCAAUGAAAGCACCAAUGUCGGUGUCAAAACCGGCGGAUCUCGGGUAGGGGGUCCCGAACUGUGCGUCUAGGCGGAUGGUAACAGGAGACGAGGGACACAAUGUUUUUACCCAGGUUUAGGCCCUCUCGAUGGAGGUAAAACCCUAUGUCCUGCUUGAUUAAUAUUGAUGAUAUGGGUAGUACAAGAGUAGAUCUACCACGAGAUCAAGGAGGCUAAACCCUAGAAGCUAGCCUAUGGUAUGAUUGUUGAGAUGUAAUGUUGUGUCCUACGGACUAAAGCCCUCCGGUUUAUAUAGACACCGGAGAGGCUAGGGUUACACAGAGUCGGUUACAAUGGUAGGAGAUCUACAUAUCCGUAUCGCCAAGCUUGCCUUCCACGCCAAGGAAAGUACCUUCCGGACACGAGCCGGAGUCUUCAAUCUUCUAUCUUCGUAGUCUGGGAGUCCGGUGGAUAUUGAUAGUCCGGCUGUCCGGACACCCCCUAGUCCAGGACUCCCUCAA